rnacentral:misc_RNA from 1 species
UCCGGAGGGUCCAAGCUUUAAUCGGAAUUACUGGGAGUCAUACGCGCGUAGGUGGCUUGAUAAGCCGGAUGUGAAAGCCCCGAGCUCAACCUGGGAACGGCAUCCGGAACUGUCAAGCUAGAGUACAGGAGAGGAAGGUAGAAUUCCCGGUGUAGCGGUGAAAUGCGUAGAGAUCGGGAGGAAUACCAGUGGCGAAGGCGGCCUUCUGGACUGAUACUGACACUGAGGUGCGAAAGCGUGGGUAGCAAACAGG